ACAGUGGUGCUUCAACGGUAGAAUUCUCACCUUCCAUGUGGGAGGCCCAGGUUCAAUUCCUGGCCAACAUA
rnacentral:tRNA from 1 species